CCCAGUUCGGAUCGCAGGCUGCAACCCGCCUGCGUGAAGUCGGAAUCGCUAGUAAUCGCGGAUCAGCAUGCCGCGGUGAAUACGUUCCCGGGCCUUGUACACACCGCCCGUCACACCAUGAGAGUCGGGAACACCCGAAGUCCGUAGCCUAACCGAAAGGGGGCGCGGCCGAAGGUGGGAUUGAUGACUGGGGUGAAGUCGUAACAAGGUAAC
rnacentral:rRNA from 1 species